rnacentral:snRNA from 1 species
GUGCUCACAAAUAUACUAAAAUUGGAAUAAUGCAGAGAAGAUUAACAUGGCCCCUGUGCAAGGAUGACACACAAAUUUGUAAAGCAUUCCUUAUUAAA